rnacentral:snRNA from 1 species
AAGAUAGUUAGAAGAUAUCGACUU